CCUUAGAGUUUGAUCCUGGCUCAGGACGAACGCUGGCGGCGCGCCUAACACAUGCAAGUCGAACGAGCGAGAGAGAGCUUGCUUUCUCGAGCGAGUGGCGAACGGGUGAGUAACGCGUGAGGAACCUGCCUCAAAGAGGGGGACAACAGUUGGAAACGACUGCUAAUACCGCAUAAGCCCACGGCUCGGCAUCGAGCAGAGGGAAAAGGAGCAAUCCGCUUUGAGAUGGCCUCGCGUCCGAUUAGCUAGUUGGUGAGGUAACGGCCCACCCAGGCGACGAUCGGUAGCCGGACUGAGAGGUUGAACGGCCACAUUGGGACUGAGACACGGCCCAGACUCCUACGGGAGGCAGCAGUGGGGAAUAUUGCACAAUGGGGGAAACCCUGAUGCAGCGACGCCGCGUGGAGGAAGAAGGUCUUCGGAUUGUAAACUCCUGUUGUUGAGGAAGAUAAUGACGGUACUCAACAAGGAAGUGACGGCUAACUACGUGCCAGCAGCCGCGGUAAAACGUAGGUCACAAGCGUUGUCCGGAAUUACUGGGUGUAAAGGGAGCGCAGGCGGGAAGACAAGUUGGAAGUGAAAUCCAUGGGCUCAACCCAUGAACUGCUUUCAAAACUGUUUUUCUUGAGUAGUGCAGAGGUAGGCGGAAUUCCCGGUGUAGCGGUGGAAUGCGUAGAUAUCGGGAGGAACACCAGUGGCGAAGGCGGCCUACUGGGCACCAACUGACGCUGAGGCUCGAAAGUGUGGGUAGCAAACAGGAUUAGAUACCCUGGUAGUCCACACUGUAAACGAUGAUUACUAGGUGUUGGAGGAUUGACCCCUUCAGUGCCGCAGUUAACACAAUAAGUAAUCCACCUGGGGAGUACGACCGCAAGGUUGAAACUCAAAGGAAUUGACGGGGGCCCGCACAAGCAGUGGAGUAUGUGGUUUAAUUCGACGCAACGCGAAGAACCUUACCAAGUCUUGACAUCCUGCGACGGUUCUGGAAACAGAACUUUCCUUCGGGACGCAGAGACAGGUGGUGCAUGGUUGUCGUCAGCUCGUGUCGUGAGAUGUUGGGUUAAGUCCCGCAACGAGCGCAACCCUUAUGGUCAGUUACUACGCAAGAGGACUCUGGCCAGACUGCCGUUGACAAAACGGAGGAAGGUGGGGAUGACGUCAAAUCAUCAUGCCCUUUAUGACUUGGGCUACACACGUACUACAAUGGCGUUAAACAAAGAGAAGCAAGACCGCGAGGUGGAGCAAAACUCAGAAACAACGUCCCAGUUCGGACUGCAGGCUGCAACUCGCCUGCACGAAGUCGGAAUUGCUAGUAAUCGCAGAUCAGCAUGCUGCGGUGAAUACGUUCCCGGGCCUUGCACACACCGCCCGUCA
rnacentral:rRNA from 1 species